rnacentral:rRNA from 1 species
GACGAACGCUGGCGGCGUGCCUAAUACAUGCAAGUCGAACGCAGUGGGGACGGGUGAGUAACCCGUGGGUAACCUCCCAUCAGAGGGGAUAACACUUGGAAACAGGUGCUAAACCGAUACUGAUGGAUGGACACGCGGUGCAUUAGCUAGUUGGUGAGGUAACGGCUCACCAAGGCAACGAUGCAUAGCCGACCGGGGGGGGGGUUGGGCCACACGGGAACGGAGAAACGGCCCAGACUCCAACGGAAGGCAGCGGAGGGAAUCUUCGGCAAUGGACGAAAGUCUGACCGAGCAACGCCGCGUGAGUGAAGAAGGUUUUCGGAUCGUAAAACUCUGUUGUUAGAGAAGCGGUAUCUAACCAGAAAGCCACGGCUAACUACGUGCCAGCCGCCGCGGUAAUUC